GAUAAACGCUGACAGAAUGCUUAACACAUGCAAGUCGAUGAUGGGGGCUAGCUUGCUAGAAGAAGUCAUGGCGGACGGGUGAGUAACGUGUAAAGAACUUACCAUAUAGACUGGGAUAACAGAGGGAAACUUCUGAUAAUACUGGAUAAGUUAGUAGUAGCAUUACUAAGUAAUGAAAGGUAGCAAUACGCUAUAUGAGAGCUUUGCAUCCUAUUAGCUAGUUGGUGGGGUAAAAGCCUACCAAGGUGAUGAUAGGUAGCCGGCCUGAGAGGGUGGACAGCCACAAGGGGACUGAGAUACGGCCCUUACUCCUACGGGAGGCAGCAGUGGGGAAUAUUGGACAAUGGAGGCAACUCUGAUCCAGCAAUUCUGUGUGUGUGAAGAAGGUUUUAGGACUGUAAAACACUUUUAGUAGGGAAGAAAGAAAUGACGGUACCUACAGAAGAAGCGACGGCUAAAUACGUG
rnacentral:rRNA from 1 species